UACGUAGGCAGCAAGCGUUGUUCGGAAUUACUGGGCGUAAAGCGCACGUAGGCGGAUUGUUAAGUCGGGGGUGAAAUCCUGGAGCUCAACUCCAGAACUGCCUUCGAUACUGGCGAUCUCGAGUUCGGGAGAGGUGAGUGGAACUGCGAGUGUAGAGGUGAAAUUCGUAGAUAUUCGCAAGAACACCAGUGGCGAAGGCGGCUCACUGGCCCGAUACUGACGCUGAGGUGCGAAAGCGUGGGGAGCAAACAGG
rnacentral:rRNA from 1 species